CCCUCCUUUAUCGGCCCAGCGACAGAUAACCUGGCAAGGUCAGGGGCGCCUGGCGACGGCACCUGGUCGGGGCUCCAAGGAUGCUCGGCUGCAGCCGGCUAUAAAUACGGGCGAGGCUCCCCAGAGGCCACUUCAGUGGCUGCCAUCAUGUUCAAGCUGCUCUGUGCCCUCCUGCUCGUGGCUCAGGCCUACGGCUGUGGCCGUCCCACCUACGUGCCCAACAUUUCCCGUGUGGUUGGGGGCAAAGAUGCCCGGCCCCACAGCUGGCCCUGGCAGGUCUCCCUCCAAGUGGAAGUGAACGGGGGCUGGUUGCACUCGUGUGGCGGGACCCUCCUUGACGCGAACUGGG